UACGGGGGGAGCAAGCGUUGUUCGGAUUUACUGGGCGUAAAGGGCGCGUAGGCGGCCACGACAAGUCACUUGUGAAAUCUCCGGGCUUAACUCGGAACGGUCAAGUGAUACUGUCGGGCUAGAGUGCAGAAGGGGCAACUGGAAUUCUCGGUGUAGCGGUGAAAUGCGUAGAUAUCGGGAGGAACACCAGUGGCGAAGGCGGCCGGCUGGGCCACACCUGACGCUGAGGCGCGAAAGCGUGGGGAGCGAACCGG
rnacentral:rRNA from 1 species